AGAAUUGAUCUGGUCAGGACGAACGCUGGCGGCGUGCCUAACACAUGCAAGUCGAGCGAGGAGAUCCUUCGGGAUGAUCCUAGCGGCGGACGGGUGAGUAACACGUGGGCAACCUGCCUCAUAGAGAGGAAUAGCCUUCCGAAAGGGAGAUUAAUACCUCAUAACAUUGCAGUUUCGCAUGGAACAGCAAUUAAAGGAGCAAUCCGCUAUGAGAUGGGCCCGCGGCGCAUUAGCUAGUUGGUGAGGUAACGGCUCACCAAGGCGACGAUGCGUAGCCGACCUGAGAGGGUGAUCGGCCACAUUGGGACUGAGACACGGCCCAGACUCCUACGGGAGGCAGCAGUGGGGAGUAUUGCACAAUGGGGGAAACCCUGAUGCCAGCAACGCCGCGUGAGUGAUGACGGCCUUCGGGUUGUAAAGCUCUGUCUUCAGGGACGAUAAUGACGGUACCUGAGGAGGAAGCCACGGCUAACUACGUGCCAGCCGCCGC
rnacentral:rRNA from 1 species